GGCGAACGGGUGAGUAAUAUAUCGGAACGUGUCCAAUAAUGGGGGAUAACGAGUCGAAAGAUUCGCUAAUACCGCAUACGCCCUACGGGGGAAAGCAGGGGAUCGUAAGACCUUGCGUUAAUGGAGCGGCCGAUAUCUGAUUAGCUAGUUGGUGAGGUAAAGGCUCACCAAGGCGACGAUCAGUAGCUGGUUUGAGAGAACGACCAGCCACACUGGAACUGAGACACGGUCCAGACUCCUACGGGAGGCAGCAGUGGGGAAUUUUGGACAAUGGGGGCAACCCUGAUCCAGCCAUUCCGCGUGAGUGAAGAAGGCCUUCGGGUUGUAAAGCUCUUUCGCAAGGGAAGAAAACUUAUGAUCGAAUAAAUCAUGAGGUUGACGGUACCUUGAUAAGAAGCACCGGCUAACUACGUGCCAGCAGCCGCGGUAAUACGUAGGGUGCGAGCGUUAAUCGGAAUUACUGGGCGUAAAGCGUGCGCAGGCGGUUUUGUAAGUCGGAUGUGAAAUCCCCGGGCUCAACCUGGGAACUGCGUUCGAAACUGCAAGGCUAGAGUGUGUCAGAGGGGGGUAGAAUUCCACGUGUAGCAGUGAAAUGCGUAGAGAUGUGGAGGAAUACCAAUGGCGAAGGCAGCCCCCUGGGAUAACACUGACGCUCAUGCACGAAAGCGUGGGGAGCAAACAGGAUUAGAUACCCUGGUAGUCCACGCCCUAAACGAUGUCAACUAGUUGUUGGUAGAGUAAAAUCUAUGAGUAACGUAGCUAACGCGUGAAGUUGACC
rnacentral:rRNA from 1 species